rnacentral:lncRNA from 1 species
CAGCAGGAAGACAGACAUCUGCAAGCCAAGAAGAGAGCUCUCACCAGAAAAUGAAAUGAGCCCACACCUUGGUCAUGGACUUCUACCCUCUAGAACUGCCCAGAGGACUGUGAGACCACAGACAAUGAGGCUGCAUGAUGGUGGGACCCCUGUGAUUAUUAGGAAACUGAGAUCCUGACAACUGUGAAACUGCAAGUCUGUGGAAUCUUUCUGCCUCUACUCCAAGCCUCUGCUUAGUCAUCUAAAUUCCCCUCUCAAGAGCAAGCACAGUGACCAUGAGUUUGUUUGAAGAUAACAGUGAACAUAGCGAUGACAACAAUUCUCUUGUUUAAAAUGAAUCAGUUUCAUCUGUGAUUUCAAGAUGGCAUUCAACAGUGCUAGGAGAAACAUACUUCCUCUUCUACAAUGGGAAAGAGAGAGAGAAACCUGGAUUUGAGUUGAUUCAAGACCAAGAGAGAGGUUAAGAAGUAGGCACAAGUGUGCAACGAAGACUCGGUGGUUCUGUCUCCAAGUGAGGAAGCACUGAGAUUAAAGAGGGUUCAGGAGACACAGGCUGCCCUCGAGGCUGUUAGGCCAAUGGGGAAGAGAACAAGAACUUCUGGAGACACCAAGGGCAUACAGGAUCUUCACAAAGAUAUCUGAGAGUUAAACUACACUACUUCCAGGAGAAAGAGUUCUUCAUGAGCGAUGGUUCCCAGUUGCAAAGAGAAUCAAUGAAAACAAGGACCCUGUUCCAAACUGACUUUUCUAGCAAUUUAGAUACAUCCUUCCUCUUUUCCCUUCUUCCCUGACACUCUCCUCCCAACACCAGAAGGUCAGGCAAGGACAGGGGAAGCCAAAUGUGCCUUCAAUUCUUCCUAGCCAGAGUCACAUUAGGAAGGGCAGAAGAGCUUAACCCAGAAGAGAGAGAGUGGUGGGAGUGUAAAGGAAAUCUCUUGCCUCCCUUUUCCAAUGCAAGCACCCAGGAUUGGGUUUGUUCUGAGGAUAGUUGGGGAAAAGGAAGAGAAGAAAUUUGAACCCAAUAUGAGAUUUCAGUUUUAAAACAGGCUAAACUGAAUUUUAAUAUCUGAGAAGGACUGGAAAAUUAUAGGACUUGCCAAGUUAAUUUCAAGAAUAAGAAAGGGGGAUGUUGACAUAGCAUAGUUGAAGACCAG